CAAUAGCGUAUAUUAAAGUUGUUGCAGUUAAAAAGCUCGUAGUUGGAUUUCUGCUGAGGACGAUCGGUCCGCCCACUGGGUGAGUAUCUGGCUCGGCCUUGGCAUCUUCUUGGAGAACGUUGCUGCACUCGACUGUGUGGCGCGGUAUCCAGGACUUUUACUUUGAGGAAAUUAGAGUGUUUCAAGCAGGCGCACGCCUUGAAUACAUUAGCAUGGAAUAAUGAGAUAGGACCUUGGUUCUAUUUUGUUGGUUUCUAGAGCUGAGGUAAUGAUUAAUAGGGAUAGUUGGGGGCAUUCGUAUUUAACUGUCAGAGGUGAAAUUCUUGGAUUUGUUAAAGAUGGACUACUGCGAAAGCAUUUGCCAAGGAUGUUUUCAUUGA
rnacentral:rRNA from 1 species